rnacentral:lncRNA from 1 species
UGGCGGGGCCUCUUUGCGUCCUCCCUUUACAUUCCUAAGUUCUGUGAAAGAGGCACUAGUAGCUCAGCCUAGCAAGGAAGGAAAAAAGAGGAAGUUUUUCUCCGCGUUCUGAUUACACUCUGAAUUCCCUUGUAGUGAGCUUACUUCUCUCCACCCACUUCUUACCAAGAACUCCUUAACUUGAGGGUGAACAACUUAAAGCUUGAUCCUACAGAGUUACCUGAAAAGUGAUUUGAGUAUUCAUUGAACUGAAAGAACUAAUCGUCUACUUCAGGCGGUGGGAAGCGUAUGGAAAUUAUAUUAGAACUUCAGCAAAGUGCACAGCUGCAUAAUAGAGAAGCCGGCACUCAGAUUGACAGGCAAAUAAGCCAGCUUGUGGAAGGGGCCUCUGGGUGGCAGCUCUGGGCUUUUGGGUGUUGGACAACCAUAGGCAAAACUGAAAUGGAACAGGGGCAGAAAAUAGCACACUUUUCCUCUACGCAACUGUUGCUUUUUCAUGAUCUUCCUGAAUUUUAUUGGGAUAAUUUUCCAAAUAGAAUUCCAAGCAUUCUAUUCAAAUGAAGCAGGCAAAGUUGCCCAGUGCCAUAGUGUGGAUCUUAUAGGACAGCUCUGGGUAUGUAUUUCACUGAUACUCUGGUUUACUGUCAGGUUGACAGACCUAAUGGAGAUAUUCUGUACUGCCUUUAUC